GACAGACGCUGGCGGUAUGCCUAACACAUGCAAGUCGAACGGACAGAACAGGGAAGCUUUUCGGAGUGGAACUGGAAAGUUAGUGGCGGAUGGGUGAGUAACGCGUGGACAACCUACCUUGUAAAGGGGAAUAACCUCGAGAAAUCGAAGCUAAUACCCCAUAAUAACCUUGCUUCGCAUGAAGUAAGGAGGAAAGGCGGCCUUAGCGCUGUCGAUACAAGAUGGGUCCGCGUCUGAUUAGCUAGUUGGUGAGGUAAAGGCUCACCAAGGCGACGAUCAGUAGCCGGCCUGAGAGGGUGAACGGCCACAUUGGGACUGAGACACGGCCCAAACUCCUACGGGAGGCAGCAGUGGGGAAUCUUCCGCAAUGGGCGAAAGCCUGACGGAGCAAUGCCGCGUGAGUGAAGAAGGCCUUCGGGUUGUAAAACUCUGUCCUUAUCGAAGAGAGAGUGUUGUAGUAACUGACAAUACUAGGACGGUAGAUGAGGAGGAAGCCCCGGCUAACUAUGUG
rnacentral:rRNA from 1 species